rnacentral:rRNA from 1 species
UGCAGUCGAGCGGAACGAUCCUAGCUUGCUAGGAGGCGUCGAGCGGCGGACGGGUGAGUAAUGCAUAGGAAUCUGCCCGAUAGUGGGGGAUAACCUGAGGAAACUCAGGCUAAUACCGCAUACGUCCUACGGGAGAAAGCAGGGGCUCUUCGGACCUUGCGCUAUCGGAUGAGCUUAUGUCGGAUUAGCUGGUUGGUGAGGUAACGGCUCACCAAGGCGACGAUCCGUAGCUGGUCUGAGAGGAUGAUCAGCCACAUCGGGACUGAGACACGGCCCGAACUCCUACGGGAGGCAGCAGUGGGGAAUAUUGGACAAUGGGGGCAACCCUGAUCCAGCCAUGCCGCGUGUGUGAAGAAGGCCCUCGGGUUGUAAAGCACUUUCAGUGAGGAAGAAGGCUUGUCGGUUAAUACCCGGCAAGGGAGACAUCACUCACAGAAGAAGCACCGGCUAACUCCGUGCCAGCAGCCGCGGUAAUACGGAGGGUGCGAGCGUUAAUCGGAAUUACUGGGCGUAAAGCGUGCGUAGGCGGCUUGAUAAGCCGGUUGUGAAAGCCCCGGGCUCAACCUGGGAACGGCAUCCGGAACUGUCAGGCUAGAGUGCAGGAGAGGAAGGUAGAAUUCCCGGUGUAGCGGUGAAAUGCGUAGAGAUCGGGAGGAAUACCAGUGGCGAAGGCGGCCUUCUGGACUGACACUGACGCUGAGGUACGAAAGCGUGGGUAGCAAACAGGAUUAGAUACCCUGGUAGUCCACGCCGUAAACGAUGUCGACUAGCCGUUGGGGUCCUCGAGACCUUUGUGGCGCAGUUAACGCACUAAGUCGACCGCCUGGGGAGUACGGCCGCAAGGUUAAACUCAAUGAAUUGACGGGGGCCCGCACAGCGGUGGAGCAUGUGGUUUAAUUCGAUGCAACGCGAGAACCUUACCUACCC